rnacentral:lncRNA from 1 species
GCCUAUCAUGAGUUCAUGACAAACUCUCCACAUAACGGGCAGUAUGUGUAAGCCACUAGCCUAUCAUGCUCUAGGCAGCCAGCAAAUAACUGGGAACCAGUGGUGACAGGGUGCCCCAAAAGACCAACCAAAUACAGUAAUCGCAUAGCAGUUCUUUAUUGGAAGCGAUCGUAUUCUUUUUUUAUGUCAGUCAACAUACGCAUUGUCGUAGCAUAAUCGACAUGAAUUGCAUAGUAAAUAAAUA